rnacentral:lncRNA from 1 species
UGGAGGUCAGUUUUAUUUCAUUUUUGUUUAAAUAUAUAUAAAAUGUAAGUUUUUUCUGAAGAAAAGAAAAAAAAGAAAAGUCUUUAUAUGGUGGUAGUCCAUUAUAUGGUCAAAGGACACAGUUAUCGUCCUUUGGGUUUCGUUGUUUACGAAUACAGUCCCUAGUGUGAACAUGGUACAUAACUUGCAUUUUUUAUUUGAUACACUUUCCUAAUUUAUUUCUUAAUAUUUAAUGCAUAAAAUAUUAAGAGGGGGGAUAAAAUUACAUGUUAAAAAAAUGUGGGUGCUAAAUCAUUAUGUUAAUUAGUGAUUUGGUCCAGUUAAAAAAAGGUCAUAUUUUAUUACGUCUGAAGCUGUCAAACUGAAUUUUACAUCCCCUUAACACAGAAUUGUCAAUAUUUUGAGUUAGAGCUGGUAGAAGUUUCUAUGAUUUUGAUAUUAUUUGUCUCACUGGUAGUAUACUACACUGUAAAAUCUAUUUGAGAAAGAGCAGGUGGGAUUUUUUAAAUUUGAAUUUAUUGUCUAAAAGAAAUGCACUACGAAAUAACUGUGUUCUCGGGCCAUAUACAAGGAAAUAUGGAGUAAUGUUAAGACUUUUGGAAACUGAAGCAUGUGUAUGCCAAAAAAUACUAGUAGUUACAAACAAUAAUUCUAUUUUAGUUACAAUUUAUUUGAGAGCUACAAAACAAAUACAAACUUUUACAAUAAUGGAAUCAAUAUUAAUCUUCAUUGACACUAUUAGAUAAACGGCUUGAAGAGUCAUUCACUUGAAGUUGAACUAUAAUUUGAUCACAAGUUUUUAAUCGGUGUAACACUCGGAAAACACUUUAAAAAUGACGGAAAGGGAUAAUUACUAUAGAACAUCACUUCAAAAAUUCGUCACAGAUUAUAACUAUGACUCUUUUUAAAACAAAUCAUUUUCUUAAAGAUAUAUCUAUAGCCAUCCCUAAAUCUUCUGUCAAUAAAUGCAUAUAUGAUAGGGUUCACUACAUUGUUUAUGGCGAAUGACCUGGAUACUAUUGGCAACACAGCAGACACAAUAGGACCUGGCGCAAAUAGGAAUUUACCUUUCAAUGCCGUCAAUAAAGAUAUUGUUAAAUGCGGCAGGUAGCUCAAAAUGAAGGCGAGACUGACGGCAAAUGCGAUUUUAGUUAGUUUCUUCGAUGCCAUGUCUUCUUUUGUUGAUUUUUUUCUAUCUUUGAUGGUUGACUUUUUCUUGUUCAAUAGUUUCUUUUCACUAUGUUCCUUUUUGUCCUUUUUGUCCUCGAAAACCUCAUUUUCGUAUUGCUGGGAAGUAUUUAAAUGGUGUUGCUCAUUGGAAAGUGUUGUAUCAGACGUUGACUUAGUCGAUGACACAUUAGAGAAUUUCCGCCUAAACUGGAUGUGUGCGCAAAGUUUUCGUCCAAUUAACGAGUAUAUUACAAUCAACGAUACCAUACAGAUA